rnacentral:rRNA from 1 species
UACAGAGGGGGCAAGCGUUGUUCGGAAUUACUGGGCGUAAAGGGCGCGUAGGCGGCCUCUUAAGUCGAACGUGAAAUCCCCGGGCUCAACCCGGGAACUGCGUCCGAUACUGGGAGGCUUGAAUCCGGGAGAGGGAUGUGGAAUUCCAGGUGUAGCGGUGAAAUGCGUAGAUAUUCGGAAGAACACCAGUGGCGAAGGCGGCUCACUGGACUGGUAUUGACGCUGAGGUGCGAAAGCGUGGGGAGCAAACAGGG